rnacentral:rRNA from 1 species
AGUGAACGCUGGCGGUAGGCCUAACACAUGCAAGUCGAACGGCAGCACAGUAAGAGCUUGCUCUUACGGGUGGCGAGUGGCGGACGGGUGAGGAAUACAUCGGAAUCUACUUUUUCGUGGGGGAUAACGUAGGGAAACUUACGCUAAUACCGCAUACGCCCUACGGGUGAAAGCAGGGGAUCUUCGGACCUUGCGCGAUUGAAUGAGCCGAUGUCGGAUUAGCUAGUUGGCGGGGUAAAGGCCCACCAAGGCGACGAUCCGUAGCCGGUCUGAGAGGAUGGUCGCCCACACUGGAACGGGGACGGGCACCAGGCGCCUACGGGAGGCAGCAGUGGGGAAUGUUGGACAGUGGGGGCAAACCUGGUCCAGCCAUACCGCGUGUGUGAAGAAGGCCUUCGGGUUGUAAAGCCCUUUUGUUGGGAAAGAAAAGCAGCAGGUUAAUACCCCGCUGUUCUGACGGUACCCAAAGAAUAAGCACCGGCUAACUUCGUG